UAGUUGCUUUACGUAAAAAUGUAGUAAAAGAACUUAACUACGUUCGAAGAUCAUAUGUGACACACGUGAUGCGCGGAAGUGCUUCUCACCACAUGAAUUUUAGUCACAUAUCAGCCGUCACUAACAUCAGACGUACAUACGAUUGAUUGUGUGUACACAGACAAUGCUUGAGUGUGUAUGAACGUGAGAUCAAAUUUGUCACAAUAUGGUGUACUCAUUCUGUAUCAUCAACAGCAUUGAUGUACACCGUAAAUUUUCACUAGGCUGUAUAGCAUAUAGGAAUGUCACACGCACACAAAUGUCUACCAACAGUUGUCUGAUGUCACACGCACACAAAUGUCUACUAAGAGUUGUCUGUCAUAGUGUGCGCUCCAGCUGUCCAUCAACUAACAUGUGAUCAACGCAAUACCGUAGAGUGAGUGAGAAGAGUAUAAUGUUGUUAUGUUAUUGCAUUCAUGCUUACAUUGUUUAUAGAACGUUUCAUCUCGGAAUAUAUAUAUUUUUUUUAAAUAAAUUACGAUUACAAUUGCAAUUCCAAAGUACAA